AUGAACGCUAGCUACAGGCUUAACACAUGCAAGUCGAGGGGCAGCAUGGUCUUAGCUUGCUAAGACUGAUGGCGACCGGCGCACGGGUGAGUAACACGUAUCCAACCUGCCGUCUACUCUUGGACAGCCUUCUGAAAGGAAGAUUAAUACAAGAUGGCAUCAUGAGUCCGCAUGUUCACAUGAUUAAAGGUAUUCCGGUAGACGAUGGGGAUGCGUUCCAUUAGAUAGUAGGCGGGGUAACGGCCCACCUAGUCUUCGAUGGAUAGGGGUUCUGAGAGGAAGGUCCCCCACAUUGGAACUGAGACACGGUCCAAACUCCUACGGGAGGCAGCAGUGAGGAAUAUUGGUCAAUGGGCGAGAGCCUGAACCAGCCAAGUAGCGUGAAGGAUGACUGCCCUAUGGGUUGUAAACUUCUUUUAUAAAGGAAUAAAGUCGGGUAUGCAUACCCGUUUGCAUGUACUUUAUGAAUAAGGAUCGGCUAACUCCGUGCCAGCAGCCGCGGUAAUACGGAGGAUCCGAGCGUUAUCCGGAUUUAUUGGGUUUAAAGGGAGCGUAGAUGGAUGUUUAAGUCAGUUGUGAAAGUUUGCGGCUCAACCGUAAAAUUGCAGUUGAUACUGGAUAUCUUGAGUGCAGUUGAGGCAGGCGGAAUUCGUGGUGUAGCGGUGAAAUGCUUAGAUAUCACGAAGAACUCCGAUUGCGAAGGCAGCCUGCUAAGCUGCAACUGACAUUGAGGCUCGAAAGUGUGGGUAUCAAACAGGAUUAGAUACCCUGGUAGUCCACACGGUAAACGAUGAAUACUCGCUGUUUGCGAUAUACGGCAAGCGGCCAAGCGAAAGCGUUAAGUAUUCCACCUGGGGAGUACGCCGGCAACGGUGAAACUCAAAGGAAUUGACGGGGGCCCGCACAAGCAGUGGAGUAUGUGGUUUAAUUCGACGCAACGCGAAGAACCUUACCAAGUCUUGACAUCCCUUGACGAACAUAGAAAUAUGUUUUCUCUUCGGAGCAAGGAGACAGGUGGUGCAUGGUUGUCGUCAGCUCGUGCCGUGAGGUGUCGGCUUAAGUGCCAUAACGAGCGCAACCCUUGUUGUCAGUUACUAACAGGAUUUGCUGAGGACUCUGACAAGACUGCCAUCGUAAGAUGUGAGGAAGGUGGGGAUGACGUCAAAUCAGCACGGCCCUUACGUCCGGGGCUACACACGUGUUACAAUGGGGGGUACAGAGGGCCGCUACCACGCGAGUGGAUGCCAAUCCCAAAAACCUCUCUCAGUUCGGACUGGAGUCUGCAACCCGACUCCACGAAGCUGGAUUCGCUAGUAAUCGCGCAUCAGCCACGGCGCGGUGAAUACGUUCCCGGGCCUUGUACACACCGCCCGUCAAGCCAUGGGAGCCGGGGGUACCUGAAGUGCGUAACCGCGAGGAGCGCCCUAGGGUAAAACUGGUGACUGGGGCU
rnacentral:rRNA from 1 species